UACGUAGGGGGCAAGCGUUGUCCGGAAUCAUUGGGCGUAAAGAGCUCGUAGGCGGCUUGUCGCGUCGUCCGUGAAAACCUGCGGCUCAACUGCAGGCUGGCGGUCGAUACGGGCAGGCUGGAGUUCGGUAGGGGAGACUGGAAUUCCUGGUGUAGCGGUGAAAUGCGCAGAUAUCAGGAGGAACACCGGUGGCGAAGGCGGGUCUCUGGGACGGUACUGACGCUGAGACGCGAAAGCGUGGGGAGCGAACAGG
rnacentral:rRNA from 1 species